rnacentral:rRNA from 1 species
CGUGAACCUUUACUAUAGCUUGACACUGAACAUUGAGCCUUGAUGUGUAGGAUAGGUGGGAGGCUUUGAAGUGUGGACGCCAGUCUGCAUGGAGCCGGCCUUGAAAUACCACCCUUUAAUGUUUGAUGUUCUAACGUGGACCCGUGAUCCGGGUUGCGGACAGUGUCUGGUGGGUAGUUUGACUGGGGCGGUCUCCUCCUAAAGAGUAACGGAGGAGCACGAAGGUUGGCUAAUCCUGGUCGGACAUCAGGAGGUUAGUGCAAUGGCAUAAGCCAGCUUGACUGCGAGCGUGACGGCGCGAGCAGGUGCGAAAGCAGGUCAUAGUGAUCCGGUGGUUCUGAAUGGAAGGGCCAUCGCUCAACGGAUAAAAGGUACUCCGGGGAUAACAGGCUGAUACCGCCCAAGAGUUCAUAUCGACGGCGGUGUUUGGCACCUCGAUGUCGGCUCAUCACAUCCUGGGGCUGAAGUAGGUCCCAAGGGUAUGGCUGUUCGCCAUUUAAAGUGGUACGCGAGCUGGGUUUAGAACGUCGUGAGACAGUUCGGUCCCUAUCUGCCGUGGGCGCUGGAGAACUGAGGGGGGCUGCUCCUAGUACGAGAGGACCGGAGUGGACGCAUCACUGGUGUUCGGGUUGUCAUGCCAAUGGCACUGCCCGGUAGCUAAAUGCGGAAGAGAUAAGUGCUGAAAGCAUCUAAGCACGAAACUUGCCCCGA